UACGUAGGGCUCAAGCGUUAUCCGGAAUUAUUGGGCGUAAAGAGCUCGUAGGCGGUUUGUCGCGUCUGCUGUGAAAGACCGGGGCUCAACUCCGGUUCUGCAGUGGGUACGGGCAGACUAGAGUGCAGUAGGGGAGACUGGAAUUCCUGGUGUAGCGGUGAAAUGCGCAGAUAUCAGGAGGAACACCGAUGGCGAAGGCAGGUCUCUGGGCUGUAACUGACGCUGAGGAGCGAAAGCAUGGGGAGCGAACAGG
rnacentral:rRNA from 1 species